GUGCUCGCUUCGGCAGCACAUACACUAAACUUGGAACAACCCAGAGAAGAUGAGCACGGCCCCUGCGCCAAGGGUGAUGCGCAGAUUCGUGAAGCUUCCAUAUUAAAA